GAUGAACGCUGGCGGCGUGCUUAACACAUGCAAGUCGAACGAUUAAAGCCCCUUCGGGGGUGUAUAGAGUGGCGAACGGGUGAGUAACACGUGGGUAACCUGCCCUAUGCUUUGGGAUAACUCAGGGAAACUUGAGCUAAUACCGAAUACUCCGGACUGAUCGCAUGGUCGGUCCGGGAAAGUUCCGGCGGCAUAGGAUGGACCCGCGGCCCAUUAGCUUGUUGGUGGGGUAACGGCCUACCAAGGCGACGAUGGGUAGCCGCGCUGAUAGGCGGAUCUGCCACACUGGGACUGAGACCCGGCCCAGACUCCUACGGGAGGCAGCAGUGGGGAAUUUUGCGCAAUGGGCGAAAGCCUGACGCAGCAACGCCGCGUGCGGGAUGAAGGCCUUCGGGUUGUAAACCGCUUUCAGCAGGGAUGAAAUUGACAGUACCUGCAGAAGAAGCCCCGGCUAACUACGUGCCAGCCGCCGCCGUAACAC
rnacentral:rRNA from 1 species